rnacentral:snRNA from 1 species
GAGUGUUACAGCUAUUUUAGAAUUUGUCUAGCCAGGUUUUUCUGUGAAAACCAGAAGCCCAU